GCGUGCAACAAGAACAGUAGAAGAGUUUCUGAACUCCGGUCGCCUCGGCAGUGGGCCAUUGGCCAGCAAAGUUGCGUGUUCCUAAACCCAUAGUUCAUACCGUGUCGUCUGGCAUGGACGUAGACCACUGUUGGGUACUGUGUCGCGUACAGCAAGAACCCUGUCCGCCCCGGCAGUGGGCCAUUGGCCAGCAAAGGCACACAGCGAUCGGACUGAGCAUAUCAAGUAGCCCCUCCUGUGACCCACAAGACCACACUCAUUCGGCCGAGGAGCCUGUCUGGACUUACGUUGAGAGUGCUGGCAGACAGUUUGUUUUUUCAAGACUUAUGUUGGGACUGCUGGUGGACAGUUUCGGUUUUAGUCUUCAGCUGGUGCACAGUUCACUUUUAUCACACCGCCUCAUUUCUUUUGAGUGUAUCUGCGUUCUCUAGACAUUUAGCCUGUGUUCUUACACGUUGAGAGUACUCCUAUGGUUUACAGCAUUGCUUUGCUCAUAUAAACUUUUGUGAUACUGCCUUGUUGCUUUCGACUCACUUCAUUCUCUUGUC